UACGAAGGGUGCAAGCGUUAAUCGGAAUUACUGGGCGUAAAGCGCGCGUAGGUGGUUCAGUAAGUUGGAAGUGAAAUCCCCGGGCUCAACCUGGGAACUGCUUUCAAAACUGCUGAGCUAGAAUACGGUAGAGGGUGGUGGAAUUUCCUGUGUAGCGGUGAAAUGCGUAGAUAUAGGAAGGAACACCAGUGGCGAAGGCGACCACCUGGACUGAUACUGACACUGAGGUGCGAAAGCGUGGGGAGCAAACAGG
rnacentral:rRNA from 1 species